ACUCGUUUGAGUUAACACAUCGGGAAAAAACUUUAAAGACUGUUUAGUAAUGGUUGUGAGUGUGUGACCUCACUGUAGCUUAAUGUUACAAUCAAUAAAUAUCCAUGAGGCCUUAAAGAAGAAGAAUUAGCAGAAUGCUAAUCUCAGACUAUUUUAGUAAAGAAUUUUGUUUUAAAUUCCCCACUUGUAAAUACCUGUGCUAUUGGAAUAGAUUAUUAGAAAUACUCUGCUAUUUUCAAAAUAUCCAUAAUGACCUUGACAUAUAAGUUUUUUCCUAAAAUAACAAAUGUUUUUAUAUUCUCUAACUCAGAAUUCUUUAAAAUAAGUGAGAUUAAAAUUGCCUAAAGAGUGUUAAUUUAUUAUAAUACCAAAGAAAGAAAAGGAAUCAAGGUAUGUGCUAGGACGUAGGGGAAGAAACACGUGUGGAAUGUGUUCAUAGUAGGGGAGUUCAUAGAGUAGGACACUGCAGAGAUUUUCAGAGUGAAACCCAUCAUGAUGAACUAUCAAAAUCCUGUAGUCCUUCUAGGGAAUUAAAAUUUAAAGAUUCAACAAAAAUGGCAAAUGGAUUAAAAACAGAUUAAUAAAUGGCCCAGUGUAAAAAUAGACAGGAAGGCAAAUAGAAAUCUAGGAUUAAGGUAUUAAAAGCUUACCUUUAUUCUACUGGUCACUUAUAUAUACAUCAUUUGGAUUCCCUUUUCUCGGUGCCCCCCUUUUUCCAAGUUCCAUAACUGAAAGGAAAAAGACUGCUUUUGGAGAAUAGACAUGAUAGAAUUAGCAAGUCUCAUGCAUAAAUUUGACAAUGGUUUUAACCAAUAGUAGAAGAAGAUGGUUGAGAUGGAUAAUUGAAAUAUCAUGUCAUUCAGAAAGUAGAAUGGUAGUUGCCAGGGUCUGCAUGGAGAGGGGCAUGGGGAAUUAUUGUUUAAAUGGGACCAUAAUUUCAUUUGGGGCAGAUGGAAAUGGUGAAAAUGGUACUUUUAUCGUAUGUAUAUUUAACGUGUAAAAACAUUGUUAUUAAAUUCAGCCUGGUGAUUUUUAUGGGCUAUGAAAGUAUAUUGCUUAUGUUAAUCACACUUUAUCAGUGUUUUUAAAAGAACUUUGGGAAAGGUAAGAAUAAAAAUUCUAGUCAGUCUUUGAGAAUUAAAUAUGUUUUCCUGAAUCUGUCAGAUUUUGAGCACUUACUCUGUUUCUAAAAGUAUAUACACAUAUGAAAUCUUAUUUAAAAUAGGGUUUAUAUAUGCUCCAUGGACAUCUUUUUAAAAUUUAGAUUGAUUUUAAUUUACUCAAAAUAAAUAUGCAUAAUUCUUACAAUUAAAGUACAUUCAGUCAGAUGAAAUCCUAAAAACAAUAUGAGCUAGACAGGUGGGAUUUUUUUUUUUUUUCAUAGUAGGAGUGUCCUUGUAUGCCUGGGCGUGUUCUGGGUUCCCCUUCUGGCCUCACUCUCCUGCAGUAGUCAUCUCUGUGAGAGUGGGGAGUGCACCACCUGCUUUCAGAUUUAGCAACGUGAAGGUGUUUAUACAAUGCAAUAGCAGAAGCAUUUUUUUUUUAAUUUUUUUUUUACAAUCUGAACAUAUUCUGCUGGUGCUCAGAGAGAGAUCCAGAGGAAAAACCAACAAAGACUGUAGUAAUCCAGCUAGCAAGAAUACAAGGAAAAAUUAUAAGCUGGUGAGCUGGGUGUAAUCUGGAAAGGAAAGGUGGGUAGCCAAGUAUAUGUGAGCAUAAAGAUUUACUGACGGUGGUGGAAAUGGGUUUCCUAGUAGCUGCUCAAUCCAAAAAAGACAAGACCUUUGCCUAGAAAGUGCAUGGGCAGCCAAAUUCCAGGGACUGCUACAGAGUAGGCUGGGUCAGACCUUAUUGUUCAUGAUAUGAAAGAACAAAAUGGGGAGAAUGAGUGUUAAUAGGGGGAGAAGGUAUAUUCAGUCAGUUCAGCAAAUAUGUAUUAAGCAUCUACUAAAUUCCAGAUUCUAGGAGCUUGGGAUAUAUCAGUGAAUUUAAGUAGAACUUAUAUUUGGGGAGUGUGGAAAGAAACUUAAUAAUGGUGAACUUAAUAAAUAAGCAAAUUGUAUAGUGUGUUAAGGUAAUAAUUACUAUUUUUUAAAAAGAAAGGGGAGAGCAGGACAUGGGGAGGUGGGCGUGCAGGAGACAGUAUUAUACAGGGUAGUCAGAGGCAGAGAAGAUGAGACUUGGAGAAAGACUUGGUAAGGGAUUUAGCCAAGCAGGUACCUGGGGGGAAGAGAGAGCAGUGACCCUAAGUGCAUGAACAUUGGCAGAGAUAAUCCAAAGAAGUUACGAUCUCUAGGUUUCUGAAAGGAUGUUGGCUGCAAAAUGAAUUCAAUUUAUAAAGUGAAAAAAAUGCUUCUCAUUCCAUAACCACUUGAUCUUAACACCUCUUGUUCCUAUAACUAUUGAUUAAACAGUUUUAAAGAUAUGACCAUUUAUGUGUUUUUCAAGUUAUCUUCAAAGCAUUAAUUCCUUUAAUAGCAAUCAAACCUUAGGAAAGCCAGGUUAUUCCAAAUCUUCUUGUAAAAUCAUGGUCUUUAGAUAAGUGAGCUAUUCUUCCUGUGAAUAUACUAUUUGAAAGAAAAACAAAACAAAACAAUUUCCUCUGCAUUUCGAUGCCUGUUUGAUUUAUAUAUGAGGAGUACCAUUCAAACUUUAACAUUUUGUGCAAGUUUGCCCUUGGAUGAUUUUCUGUGAAAUAUCUACAGUAAGGAUUCAAGAGAUAAUAGAAGGUACCUUGAGGUCUACCCUAAAGUAGUGAGAGGGGCUUUAUUUCAGAUACUUGCAUGAAGCUACCUAAUUGAAAUGUCAAACAAAACUCAUCCACUCUAUCUAAUAAAUAAUGUACAAUAAUACAAAUUCUUUAACAUAAGUACUUCAGAAAAAGUGCAGGAAAUAAAAUUAGCCUUGAAGAAAGGAACAAAGCCAUUAGAUGAAGUCCCAGUUCUAAUGUGACAAACAGUAAGAUCAUUGCCUGUGGCAUCGAAACAUCCAUAUCUGAAAGGUAAUACUCAUGGUAAUUCCAGAUAGAAGUAGUUUCUGAUCCAUUUGAAGGUUGAGCUGGGACUUAUUAAUGCCAAAGAAGGUAGUUUCAUAUUUUGAAGAUAAAUAGGUUUCAUUAAUCUUUCAGCCAUAGCAACCCAUUUUGGAUUUUAGAUUUUAACUUUUUUAUGUUGCUGAGUGAAAAAGUAUGGCUUUUAGUGAUAUGUGUACCAAUUCAACUGCUUUUUAGAAUCAGAAGCCUGGCAGUUGUAUAUUUUUCUUAGAAUGUGACAUUUGAAAGUUUUAUUUUGAAAUUUAUUUAUGUCUGUACAUUUUUACAUAUUUAUGGGUUACUGACUAGUCCAGAAUUUUUGCCUAUUUUUCUGAAAAAGGAAAAGAUAACAAAACAGACCUUGAAAAUACCUGUUUGAAAACUAGAAAUAUAAUGAAAACUCACUUGUAAAGAAGGAAGAAAAUAAUCCCCUGGUUUUCUUACCUUAGAUUUUUUCUUCUCUUGGUUUUCUCGUUUCUGAGAGGUUUCCACAAUUUCAAACUCUCCUACUGUUUCUAUCAUAGCUUUUUUAUUUGUUUUCUUUUUCCCGAAUAAUCAUUCUUCCAAGUUGCUUUUUUUCUGUUUGUUUUGGUCUGUCUUUCAUGUUUGAUGCUUUCCUCAAUUAGCUUGUUGUUUAGAAUUCACAAAGGCCAAAUCCUCAUCACUCUCAUCCUUGCCUGCUGUUUCAUGUAGUUCUUUAAUUAUCAGGAAGUGUAAUAAGAAGGUAGUGGUAAUGUACAGUGCAUAGAGAAACUAAAUUAAAAGUGCUCCAAAUUAGAAAACUGCCUCCAUUUAAAACAAACUAACCUCACAUUUAACAACAUUUAAUUAAAAUUAAGCUUUCGGUUUAAAAAUAUCUUUAAACAUUCUUUUAAAUAUCCA